rnacentral:rRNA from 1 species
AUUGAACGCUGGCGGCAGGCUUAACACAUGCAAGUCGAACGCGUGGCGGACGGGUGUGUAAUGUCUGGGAAACUGCCCGAUGGAGGGGGAUAUCCACUGGAAACGGUAGCUAAUACCGCAUACCAUCGGAUGUGCCCAGAUGGGAUUAGCUAGUAGGUGGGGUAACGGCUCCCCUAGGCGACGAUCCCUAGCUGGUCUGAGAGGAUGACCAGCCACACUGGGACUGAGACACGGCCCAGACUCCUACGGGAGGCAGCAGUGGGGAAUAUUGCGCAAUGGGGGCAACCCGGACGCAGCCAUGCCGCGUGAAUGAAGAAGGCCUUCGGGUUGUAAAGUUCUUUCGGUAGCGAGGCGUUAACUACAGAAGAAGCACCGGCUAACUCCGUGCCAGCAGCCGCGGUAAUAC